GACGAACCGUGCGAACGUUGUUCGGAAUCACUGGGCUUAAGGGGCGCGUAGGCGGGCUGUCCAGUCUGGGGUGAAAUCCCGCGGCUCAACCGUGGAACUGCCUCAGAUACUGACGGCCUCGAGGGAGAUAGGGGCAUGCGGAACUGUAGGUGGAGCGGUGAAAUGCGUUGAUAUCUACAGGAACUCCGGUGGCGAAGGCGGCGUGCUGGAUCUCUUCUGACGCUGAGGCGCGAAAGCUAGGGGAGCAAACGGG
rnacentral:rRNA from 1 species